UGUCGUAAUUUUUAUUCAGAAUACAUUUGCAGUGCAGCAAUACAAGCAACAAUAGAUGUUUUCGUGAAGAAGAAACAACUCAAAAUGGAUAAAAUUACGACAUUAUGUAUAUUUUCGAUCACCGUUUGCUGUCUUUUAGUGAUUGUCACAGGAACACCAACACCAACGCCAACUCCAGAAGACGAAUGCCAAAGCCGAAAUGCAUCAUGUGAACUCUGUUUAAAAGCUCCAAAAGCAAAAUGUUAUUACUGUCUGACAACCAACGAGUGUCGUCUUUACCCAGCCUCUAGUAUCCUACCAAACAAAGAAUGUGAUUUGAGUCAAGCAAGAUGGGGCACCUGCUUGAUAAACUUCGAGGCAUUGAUAAUCUCAAUGAGUGUGAUAGCAGGAUUGAUCCUCAUCGGAGUGCCUUGUGGAAUCUACUGCUGCUGCUGUAGAAGUUCAGGGAACAGAGCAAAAUGGGCUCGUGAAGACGCCUCACAGGAAAGGAAGAAGGAGGAAAGGAAAAUGAAGCAUGAGCAGAAGUAAGUCCAACACCCUUCUCUAUAACCCUUAUACGUCAGGGUUUUUUUUCUUCACAAAAGCAGGUAGAAUGAUAAAAAUUAGGGUCAAUAUGAUGUGAUAUUGACCCUAAUUUUGGUCAUGGCAGGCAACAAAAAAUCACUUUGGAAAAAGAAAUGCAAUAACAAGGUAGAUCAGUUCAUGUCAAAAGAGAGAAAAAGGUCAACAUUUGGUUUAAAUAACUGCAAAUCUUUCCUUUGAAGAGGGAAAACUUUUUUUUUUCCAAGGAAUUUUUCGGGCAAGUGAAAUAGAUUUUUGGGCAAGUAUAUUCCAACUAUUUAAAAUUGUACUUGCCCGACCUGGUAAGUGCUUCUAAAAAGUUAUGUAGCACCCUGCAAAAGCAUUACAAAUCUUAGUUUGUGGCUAUCCCAUAUAGUUUAUAUAUACAUAGUUUAUGUGAGUUGUCCAAGAAGUGUAGACUGUUGAUUGUUUGUUGAAACCAAUGCUUAAAUCUGAUGACUAGGGCGUAAUAUUAGAUAUGUCAUUCGGAUGUAUGGAGCACCAUAUGAAACCCAAAUGCAUACAUGUAUAUCUGAAUUUCAUGUUAUCUGUUGCCUACUAGAACUGGAUGGUCCUAUACAACAGUAAAGAACCUAAAAUGUAUGGAAAUUACAGAAUUCAGUAGUAAAUAGGUUUACAAUUUUUGAUACACAAUUUUCAUGAAUUAUAUAGGCCUACAAGGUAAUGCUAAAACCCACCCAUUUUAUUAUCAUCUAAAGGAAAAUGGAACGCAAGGCCAAGAAUGAUGAAAUCAGGCGUAAAUACGGUAGGUGUUCUUUUCUUUACAUUCUUGGUUCUUUAGGAACAUGUUUCUCAAAUAUUUUUCAUAAUGAUUCAAGAAAUAAAAAUUCUUGGAGAUACGAAAAGUCAUGGUUUUGAUCCAUGGGGUAAAAGGCACUUAUUGUUAAAAAAACUUGAUAUCCUAAGACUUCUGUCCAUCAAGUGAUAUUCAAUAUUUUGUUAAUAAAUAUUAUAAAACAUGUAAAAAUGCAUGGAGUAUGAUAAAGCACUCUUCAGUUGCUAUGAGUAUUGCAAAGGUGCCUUUUUCAUUUUUUUCAUUUUGAAAUUCAAGCUCUAUAUAAUAUCAAUCCCUAAAAUUGAAAUUUUAGUGGGGAACAAAACAUAAUUGAGAAACAGGUUUCUUCAGAAUGUUGCCUGUAAAGGCUGAUUGUGCAUUAAAAGAGUACUAACAUAUCAGGAGGUGUUUCACAAAUAGUUGAGUUGAUUUUCACAUGAAAUCAUGCCAAAGUUCAAGUGAAACUAUUGAAAUUACUCUAUAACCUCAAUGGAAGAUUUUGCAGUAGUAGACUCACUGAGAAUUAUUUUUUGCUCUGGCCAAUGUUGAGAUGUGUUAAAAACUUUGCACAAUUGGAAAUUAUUUGCAACUUCACACUUUGUGAAACCCCUCCAAGGAAUGAGUGUGGCAUGGUAUCUUGUAAAUUGUAUGGAUUUCAUGUAAUUGAAUUUAAUUAAAUUCAUAAUGAAUGAUUCCUGUAUAGGAAAUUUGCCAUUGUUCCUUUUAGCAUUGAUUCUGAAGAUUUAAUCUUAGAGAGGAGAAGACCAAAGCAUAUUACCUUAAUAAUUCAUGUCAUUUUGGACAUGAGGUGUAAAUAUCAUGACCAAGAUUCACAAAAACUCAUUUAGUCAUAUUUAUUUGAUACAUAUUUCGAAGAAUCAAAAUAUCACUUUGCCAUGAUGAAUUCGAUGGAAAGCUUAGUAUUUGAAAUCUUGCAUUAUUGUCAUGAUGAUAUGCACAGAAAAUGACGUGAACGCACUGAAAGCACAAAACUUGUUUGCAUUGUGUAAAAAAAAUAUGAAUCCGUUCCAAGCAGUCAGAGUCCCGUUUUCGUAUUUUUCAAACUGCAUUCCUUUCCUUUCAUAAUUACGUGUACAUCAAAAUUUCAAAAUCUACAAAAGCAGAGCUCUGCAAACACAAUGAUAUCGUAUUUCGUGUUGUUCAGAAUGGGAAUCCUUCUCAUGUGAUUUACAGUACAUGCACAGGUUAACAACAAUCAUAAGGCGGAUACAUUAAACAUUACUACAUUUUCAUAUUAGAAAUUAUAUAGAAUUGUAGUCCAACCCAUUCAUUAUUAUGCAGGGUCAUUAAUCUCCAAUAAUUACAUGUAAUGCACAGUACCCAUAUUUCAAAAAUCAUACAGCAGCCACGGAUAGAAUAUAAAUGUCCAUUUCACUAUGAAUUUUCUUUACUUGGAUGUAAUCCUUUAUUCUGUUUGUGGUGAAUUGAGUGUGAAGUGCCAUUAAUUCUGUGUAUCGCACAUCUAGAAACAGCUCAUCUUUCUUUGUUUUUAUAUACAUGUAGUGAAAAGCAACUCUCAGUUUUGUCUUUAUUAUACUCUCAAAUACUAGCUUUAUCAUUUCAGAUAUUAGCAUUCCAUAUAUAUAUGUGCAACAGUUGUACACAUAAACUUUCUCUGUUUGGGAUUUAUCAUUUUCAGUAUGAGCCUAAGCCUUCCAUGAUCAACUUAUAUACCAUAUAUUCAUACAUGGCAUAUACUUCAGCAUUUUUCUGCUCGUUAUAGUGGGAAUUCUAUUUCAUUUCAUAUAUACAUGUAUUUUUCCCUUUACACAGGGAAAAUUGCUUCCUAAAAUAUUCAUAUACAAACUAUAAACUAUAAAGGAUGCUUAAAAUUGCUACAAAUCAUACAAUGUAAUUUUAACUCCAUAGAAAAAUCUAGAGAAGCUUUGGUACAUGUAUUAUACAAGACAAUAUGUAAUAUAUGCAUGCAUUUAUAGGUAUAUCAACUUAAUUACUUGCAGUACUCUAGUCUUUAACUUGUCAAUUCUACUUUUACAUUCCCAUCCUCGUCAAAAUAUUUGGCAGUCUGUGUGUAAGCUAUCUCAAAUCUGAGAUUAGGAAGUUUGUCUCACCUUUGUAAAGAACCUAAGUGUGCAAUAUCCCCUUCAAACAUUGUUUCCCCUUGCUCUUAAUAGUAAUAGCACAUUGUAUAUUCUCAUAAAAAUGAGGGUACCUUUAAACUGGGGAAAUUAAGAGUCAUCACAGGUUAUUACAGGUGGUUUAAACUUUGAAGCACAUACAAAAUGGUUUCUGUAUGGGGUCUGCCUACUGCAUUCACAAUGGGGUUGAAUAUGUACACUACCCUCAGAAGAAGUGUGGGUUUGAGUCAUAAAACAACAAACUUCUUGGUGAUUAAUAUUCUUCAAUACAGGAAUAAUUUUGUCUUGAAAAGCAGGAGGGGGUGCAGUUACGAUGCACUCUGAGCGAGUGAAAGUAUAUAAAAAGAAGAAUAUAAGCAGUGAAAAGAAGUGAGAAGUAGUGUUUGUUUGUCUUGAUGAGUAUAUAUAGUGAACUUUCACCCAGCACCCCUUUGUAAAAUGAUGCGUUGCAAUAUUACAGGAAUGAGAUUGUCCUCAGAAAAUGACAGCGCCAAAACUUCAAAGGCCUCAAACUUUGGUUUAUAAAAAAUAUAUAAUACAAGGUUUUCAAAAAUAACUUUUUGAAGUGUCAAAAAAGUUAACAAGUAGCCCCAUUCUUAAAAUAUUGAUGUGAUCUGUGCAGUUGUUGAUGCCAAAUUCAUUGUUUUGAGCCAAGGAUUUUCAAACAUUGAAGCUAGUUCUAAUUUUCAGACCUCACAUGCGCUGUACAUAAAGUGUAAUCAUGGAUAACUUGUAUGCUUGUUUCAUGUAUGUCAG